rnacentral:rRNA from 1 species
GGUCCUACGGGACGCAGCAGUGGGGGAUAUUGCACAAUGGGGGGAACCCUGAUGCAGCGACGCCGCGUGGGUGAAGAAGCGCCUCGGCGCGUAAAGCCCUGUCAGCAGGGAAGAAAAUGACGGUACCUGAAGAAGAAGCCCCGGCUAACUACGUGCCAGCAGCCGCGGUAAUACGUAGGGGGCAAGCGUUAUCCGGAUUUACUGGGUGUAAAGGGGGCGCAGACGGCGAUGCAAGCCAGGAGUGAAAGCCCGGGGCCAAACCCCGGGACUGCGCUUGGAACUGCGUCGCUGGAGCGCAGGAGGUG